rnacentral:rRNA from 1 species
UACAGAGGUCUCAAGCGUUGUUCGGAUUCAUUGGGCGUAAAGGGUGUGUAGGUGGCGCCGUAAGUCGGGUGUGAAAUUUCGGAGCUUAACUCCGAAACUGCAUUCGAUACUGCGGUGCUUUGAGGACUGGAGAGGAGACUGGAAUUCAUGGUGUAGCAGUGAAAUGCGUAGAGAUCAUGAGGAAGACCAGUGGCGAAGGCGGGUCUCUGGACAGUUCCUGACGCUGAGGCACGAAGGCCAGGGGAGCAAACGGG